GGCCAUCCUGUGUGGGAACGGGGCAAGGGUGGGGCUCAAGUCCCAUCUUGUCUUAUGUAGGAGUCAGAAGUGCUUCAGAUGACUGUAGGCUGAGAGGUGCACCUUCUGUUUGCACACUUGGGAACCGUAUGACCCUUAGACUGUCUGGACAGCAAGACAAUUGAGAGCCCCUGUUUCUGCUGUCCAAUCUAUGGAAUCACAGGCAGGGGUGGCUUUUAUGUGGGUCCUGGGAUCCAAACCCAGCUUCUGCAGCACCUUAUGAAACCUCACUGUGAAUGUUCAACAGACUUCAGGACAGCGGCGCGAUGCCAUUAUGUCAAAGACUGGCCCACCGCUGCCAGCAGCUUUCAAAGGUUUUGGGGUCUGCAGAGUCCCUGAAGAAUUUUGGCUUGAAGCCCUCUUUCUCCUUCGUUUCUGAAUCCAAUGGUAGAUUAGGCGAAAUGGAACCCGUAUGGUUCUGAUUCAUUUACACUUAACUCAUCAAAAUGUUCCUUUUUAUGAGCUAUUUGAUGUCCAGAAAGCCUUUUGAGUAGAUUUUAUAAGCCUUUUAAAGACUUUUCUCUUAGAAACAGGCGGUUGCAUUUUGCCAAGAAUAAACAAACUUGAACCUCA
rnacentral:lncRNA from 1 species